UCCCACUAAUGAUGACAUCGCAAUCGAAAGUUCUGUUUCAGUUAAUCAAAUUAGCCCACCUCAGUGCAGGGCUCUACAAGUAAACAGGCAUUAAGCUGGCCGAGGGACUUUUGCACAAGAACAGCUAACUUAGCCCCUGUUUUUGGAGCACAGCUUUCAACUUUGAACAGAUUCGAACUUGAUCAACAUAAUCAAGCAUCACUCGAACAACCUUCCCAGAGAGAUGUUGCAGCCAUGACAAAGUUAUUACUUCACAGAACUAAGGAAGAAAAUUGGAACUAUGAAAGCAAAUGAAAAUCUGAAGUAACUAUGGGGUUUAGAACACUAGACUCACAGUCAGGAAUCAAGAUCUCAAACCCCUCAUUUAUAAACUAGGCAUUGAACAAGGAAAUUAUUUCUUAGCUCUAACAUUUGGAAAAAUACUACUGUAUCAUCAGAACUAUGUAAGAUGUAACCAGGGUGUGAAAGAGACAGUUCUUUAAUAUCCGUUGUCCCCAUUGUGUGGCCACACGGCGAUCUGGAAUAAAGAUGACCUCUCCAGCUUCCUUGCUGUGGCCACCUCAGUUCUACCCAGUGAGAUGUGAGUGGAAGUGUGAGCGACCCCCAGAAUGCACUUCACAGAAGAACAGGGUGUGUGCAGCUUCUGCCUGCCUGCCUCCUUGCUGCCUGGACUGUGGAUGCAUGUGUCUCCUGUGUCAGGAGCUUCCAGUUAAAAGGCUGUUUAUCUGUGGCCUUUAUUUAUAUGAAGGGAAUGAGCCACCUUAUUAAAGUCCCUUUCAUUUUGGGUUUUCUGUCAUUCACAACCUACUCUUACCCUCAUGCCUAAGGUAAUGCUGCCAGUAGGUCAUUUACAUGCUCCUAGACAAGAUGCCCAUGUAAGAAGUCAAAUACUACUACCUAAAAAGUCAGGAAAUAAUACAAGAUGAUAAAGACCUAAUUGCCAACUCCUACAUUAAUCAGAACCUAAAAAUAAAAUAUAGUAUUAAUAUGU